UAUGGCCACAUCACGUUGAAACACCUGUUCUCGUACGAUCACCGAAGUUAAGCUACGCCAAGCCUGGUCAUUGCUUAGAUGGGUGACCGCUUAGAAAUACCAGGUGCAGUAAG